rnacentral:rRNA from 1 species
GCCCUGACCGGUGUAGAGAUACGCCUUUCCCUUCGGGGACAGUGGUGACAGGUGGUGCAUGGUUGUCGUCAGCUCGUGUCGUGAGAUGUUGGGUUAAGUCCCGCAACGAGCGCAACCCUUGAUCUUAGUUGCCAGCAUUCAGUUGGGCACUCUAAGGUGACUGCCGGUGAUAAACCGGAGGAAGGUGGGGAUGACGUCAAAUCAUCAUGCCCCUUAUGACCUGGGCUACACACGUGCUACAAUGGAUGAUACAGAGGGUUGCCAACCCGCGAGGGGGAGCCAAUCCCAUAAAAUCAUUCCCAGUUCGGAUUGGAGGCUGCAACUCGCCUCCAUGAAGCCGGAAUCGCUAGUAAUCGUGGAUCAGCAUGCCACGGUGAAUACGUUCCCGGGCCUUGUAACACACCGA